UACAGAGGGUGCGAGCGUUAAUCGGAAUUACUGGGCGUAAAGCGCACGUAGGUGGCGACGUAAGUCGGGUGUGAAAGCCCCGGGCUCAACCUGGGAACUGCAUUCGAGACUGCAUGGCUAGAGUACGGUAGAGGAGGGCGGAAUUCCCGGUGUAGCGGUGAAAUGCGUAGAUAUCGGGAGGAACAUCAGUGGCGAAGGCGGCCCUCUGGACCAGUACUGACGCUCAGGUGCGAAAGCGUGGGGAGCAAACAGG
rnacentral:rRNA from 1 species